UCCAAAAUAAUAAUUCAAUCAAAUGCAUAACAUAAAACAUAAAAUUAAAUCAAGACCACAUUUGAGUUUAAUUAUUCUCUCCUAAACAAUCAGAGGUAUUAUAAUCUAAUAGGUCAUCCUUCUCACGGUCGAAAUCACCUUCACCAUCGAGAUGAACCAGAUUAGCUUCUGGAUUUUUCUUCAAAUUCUCUUGAUAGAGAUCAACAAGGUGCUUAGGAGUUCUGCAAGUCUUUAUCCAAUGGUUCUCCAUACUACAUCUAUGGCAAGUGGACUUGGUCUUAUAUUGCGGUUUAAAUGUCCCGCGGCCUCUACCCCGACCACGGUCGAACCCGAAUCGGUUUCCAUGGCCAUUGUAGUGACCCUCACCAUGGGGUAAAUUUUUAAAAUAAAAACCCUUGGCCAAAGGACCUGGAAAGGACAUGAAAAGAAGGCAAGGAAGGAAGGUAGAAGAAUUACUAAAGAAGUGUCCGAGAAAUUCUGGACGGACCGAGAGAUGGCCGAUGGUACUAUGUACCACGUACCAUGUACCGUACCGGACGUACGUGGAACGACCGGACGUACUAGGCGAACACCGAGUGGACAAGGGCCGUGUUCUGGAUGGGAAGCGAGAGUGGGAAGGAACCCACUAAGGAGGGCGAUUUAAAUAUUAAAAGUGGAGUUAGUGGAGUUUCCACUAAGUGAUUAAAUUAAUCACUAAUUUAGCCUAAGUGGAAUUUUCCACUAAGAGUUAAAUUAAUCUAAAGUUGAAGUGAGUGGGAGACAAAAGGAAUUUUUCCUUUAUGAGUUGGCCAAUAAAAUUUCAUGCAAGGGAGAGUGAAGGACAUAAUUAUUUGUCUUUCUAAAAGGUGGCCAAUAAUAUUUCAUGCAAGAGUGAGUGGGGAACAAAGGAGAUUUCGUUGGACAAGUGUUUUGCAUCUUCUACAAGUGUAAAACAUGUAAAAAUUGGUGGCAUCAAAGAGGAACAAAUGCUCUACAUGCAUUGGCUCGCCCAAACCAACCAAACUCACACUCUCCACUAUAAACAGGAGGCCUUAGUGUGUGUUAAGAGAGAUUUUCGUUUCUCUUGCUAAGUUAGAGUAAAGGAGAGAGUAAGAGAAGUUAGAGAGAGUAAGAGAAGUUAGAGAAAGAAAGAGAGAGAGAGUUCUUUCCUUAGAGUUUCUCUUCCGCGAGUUGUUAGCCAAGUGCCGCUAUAGGAGCUGUUCGCGUCAAGUCCUUGCUAGAAGUCUGAUUAGAUUUUGUUCUUCUCAGCCAAGCCAGGUAACUUUAGUGGGGGAAAAGCCUUAGAGGGGAGCGCAGGACGUUAGGCCAGCCAGUGUAGUUUUGGAUUGCCUUUGCAAGGUGUUUUGUUGGUGUAAUCUAAGUUAUCGCUUUUUGGCUCUAGGCCUGGUACCAAAAACGUUAUGAAUGUUUUGUGAACUUUUUCGUUAAGUAAUGAAAGUAUUGAAGUUGUUUUA